UGGGGAAUCUUAGACAAUGGGGGAAAGCCUGAUCUAGCCAUGCCGCGUGAGUGACGAAGGCCUUAGGGUCGUAAAGCUCUUUCGCCAGGGAAGAUAAUGACGGUACCUGGUAAAGAAACCCCGGCUAACUCCGUGCCAGCAGCCGCGGUAAUACGGAGGGGGUUAGCGUUGUUCGGAAUUACUGGGCGUAAAGCGCGCGUAGGCGGACUGUUAAGUCAGAGGUGAAAUCCCGGGGCUCAACCCCGGAACUGCCUUUGAUACUGGCAGUCUUGAGUUCGAGAGAGGUGAGUGGAAUUCCGAGUGUAGAGGUGAAAUUCGUAGAUAUUCGGAGGAACACCAGUGGCGAAGGCGGCUCACUGGCUCGAUACGGACGCUGAGGUGCGAAAGCGUGGGGAGCAAACAGG
rnacentral:rRNA from 1 species